AUUGAACGCUGGCGGCAGGCUUAACACAUGCAAGUCGAACGAGUGGCGGACGGGUGAGUAAUGCUUGGGAAUCUAGCUUAUGGAGGGGGAUAACUACGGGAAACUGUAGCUAAUACCGCGUACCAUAGGAUGAGCCCAAGUGGGAUGAGGUAGUUGGGGGGGUAAAGGCUCACCAAGCCGACGAUCUCUAGCUGGUCUGAGAGGAUGACCGGCAAAACGGGAACUGAGCAACGGCCCAGACUCCUACGGGAGGAAGCAGUGGGGAAUAUUGCCAAAUGGGGGCAACCUGACGCAGCCAUGCCGCGGGGAUGAAGAAGGCCUUCGGGUUGUAAAGUUCUUUCAGUAGGGAGGCGUUAACUGCAGAAGAAGCACCGGCUAACUCCGUGCCAGCAGCCGCGGUAAUAC
rnacentral:rRNA from 1 species